UAUAUCUUGGUGUUUGAACCGUAAACCCCAUCCGGAAGAACCCCACUGCGCCUGUUCUCAUUCUGCGAAUCUUCGUCAUCCCAGUAAAUAUAUCCUGUGUAUCAAGGAGGAAAAACAUUUCAAACGUGUUGCUAUUAAUACCACGAUAAAGUUCGGAUAUAUUUGGGGCGGUUCAGCCAAGUUCAUUUAGGUGAGGAUAAAUCUAUUUGGAUCUUUGGCACUUCACUCGAUCCUUCAGGAAUGACGGAGUCUGAUAGCUGUUCCUAGACUUCGAUCAAUCUUGUUCAGUCAAGCGUGCAUAAGUCAUAAUACGGAAAAAUGGAAUCCUGCUUCGCUGUCGACAUAAUAACGCAGUAUUUAUUGUGUGAAAAAUGAAAAUUACCUACACAAAGACAAGCCAUAACUUUUAGAGUGUGGAGUACAUAAUUAACACUUGAUCUCCUCUGGUACCAAGUAAAGCAACAAUAUUUUCCCGAAUCACAAUCUCUGAUGGACGAACACGUCGGGCACUGAUUGGUGCACCUGUUCGACACGCAGCAUUC